UCGAAUAAAUCUGGCGUUGGGUUGUCGCUGGCUCUCCGGAGCAUGUGCACGCCUUCGUCACCUUUAUCUUUCCACCUGUGCACACACUGUAGUCCUGGAUACCUCUCGCUGAAAAGGCGGAUGCGGAGCCUGCUGUGACUUUGGAAACAAAGGCCGGCUUGCUCUGAAUUUCCAGGCCUACGAUCUUUUACACACCCCUAAACGAAUGUUAUAGAAUGUAUAUCCACUGGGCCUUUGUGCCUAUAAACCUUAUA
rnacentral:misc_RNA from 1 species